UCGGUAAAAAUUUUAACCGACUUUCGGAAAUCCAUAUUCAUCAAUAUUUUACCGAGAUUCUUUUGGGAUUUCAAUAGAUUCCUAUAGCAAACCCUUAUAAGAAUUCGAUUGAAUUCCCUUCGAAAUCCCGAUGAAAUUCCUGGAAAAAUUUCCGAAGGAUUUUCUCGAGAAAUUCUUGAAGGUAUUCCCGGAGGAACGCCUCUGGGAAUUCCUUCGUGAAUUUCUUCGGGAAUUUCUCUGGGAGUUCCUACGGGAAUUCUGGCGGGAAAUCCUUCGGGAAUUUCUCCGCGAACUCCUUCGGGAAUAGCUUCGAAUCGCUCAUGAAAGUCCUCUGGGAAUUGCUCCAAAAGUAAGUAAUUUGGAGUUCCUGGAAAUUCAAUUGCGAAUUCCUCCAGACUUUUUUUUGCAAUUCGUCUAGCAUUUCCUCUGAGAAUUGCUUCAGCAGUCCUUCUGGAAAUGGAUCAAUCAAGGUAACUCAUUUUGCACUCACCGCAUCAAAACAACGGCGACACUGCAGUAUACGCAUAUUUCUAUUCGUGUGUCUUUGACAGAACAUGUCUACGGUGGCGCGACCUGCCCAUUUCAUAGCGGCAGUUUUUGCUUAUUGAUUGGUCCAUUGCUCAAAAAGUCCCCAUGGGAGUUGCUCUAAAAGUUCGUCCAGGAGAUUUUCUGUGAAUUUCUCCAGAAAUUCAUUUGAGAAUUCUUCCGGGAACUCCACCAGAAAUUAAUCUGGGAAUUCCUCCACCAGUUCCUCUGGGGUUUCCUCCAGCAGUUCCUCUUGGAUUUCCUCCAGCAGUUCCUCUUGGAUUUCCUCCAGCAGUUCCUCUGGAAUUUCCUCUAGCAGUUCCUCUGGGAUUCCAUCCAGAAGUUCCUCUGGCAUUUCCUCCAGCAGUUCCUCUGGUAAAUGCUCCAAGAGUUUCUAAGAAUUCCUCCAGGAGUUCAUCUGGGAAUUCCCCCAGCAGUUCCUCUGGGAAUUCCUCCUGCAGUUUCUCUGGGAACCGCUCCAGAAGUUUCUCUGGGAAUUGCUGCAAAAGUUUCUAAGUUCCUACUGGGAAUAACCCUAGAAACUCAUUUGGAGUUCCUAGAAAUUGAAUUGAGAAUUUAUUCAGGAGAUCCUCUGGGAACUACACCAGAAAUUCAUCUGCAUGUUCCUUUAGCAUUUCCUCUAAUAUUUACUCCAACAGUUCCUCCGGGAAAUGCUCCAAGCGUUUCUAAGAAUUCCUCCAGGAGUUCCACUAGGAAUUCCACCAUCAGCUCCUCUGAGAAUUGCUGCAAAAGUUUCCUUGGGGAUCCCACCAGAAAUUUAUCUGGGAAUUCAUCCAGGAGUUCCUCCGAGAAUCUCCCCAACAGUUCCUCUGGAAAUUCCUCCAGCAGUUCUUCUAGGAAUUGCUCCAGCAGUUCCUCUGGGAAAUGCUACAAAAAUUGCUCUGGGAAUUGCUCCAUAAGUUCCUAAGUUCCUCAAGGAGUUCCACUGGGAAUAACCCCAGACUCUCAUUUGGAGUCCCUCCAGGAGUUCUAAGAAAUUCAAUUGGGAAUUCCUCCAGCAGUUCUUCUGGGAUUUCAUCUAGCAGUUCCUAUGGGAAUUGCCACAGAAGUUCCUCUGGGAAUUCCUUCAGCUUCAAAUUCCUCCAGGAGUUACUCUGGGAAUUGCUUCAAUUUCGUGUAGGAAUUCCUCCAGGUGUUCCUAUGGGAAUUCCUCCAGCAGUUCCUCUGGGUCUUGCUACAGAAGUUCCUUUGGGAAUUAGCGUUAGCGUUGUUACGGUAUACUUCGUAGAUUGGACACUAGUGAUACUCAUGUUUCUUUUAUAAUCCUUAUCCAGAUUGCUAUCAGAAAUCAAGGUGGGAAGUAAUCCUUGAUUUCAAUCUAAGAUAAAAAUGACAAAAGCAUGAGGAUUACUACUCCCGGCCACGCCCAUCUUUACCGUAACUAGGGAUAGGGAAGGAAAUGUUGAUGUAAAACUUACUUAGUGAGAGGCCCCCGACUUGGCGACGCCCUCAUAAGUUCUACAGAGUUAGUGGUUAGGUAGGUCAUGGAGGUUUGCCUCAAGCUGGCAAUUAGACCAAUAGCAUAUGUUGUUUAUGUGUUUCUAAUUUAAACUCUUGCCAGCCGGCUGUCGAACUUCCUACUGAAGUUCCUUUGGGAAUUACUCCAAAAGUUCCUAAGUUCCUCUAGGAGUUCCACUGGGAUAACCCCAGAUACUCAUUUGGAGUUCCUUUAGAAAUUAAAUUGGGAAUUCCUCCAGUUCCUUUGGGGAUUUUACCAGAAAUUCAUCUGGAAAUUUCUGCAGGAGUUCCUCUCGGAAUUCCUUCAGCAUUCCUUCUGAGAAUUACUCCGAAAGUUCCUCCGGGAGUUUAUUCCAAAGUUCCUCCAGGAUAUCUUCUGCGAAUCCUUCCAGAAAUUCAUCUGGGAUUUGCUCCAGCAGUUCCUUCGUGAAAUGCUCCAAGAGUUUCUAAGGAUUCAGCAGUUCCUCUGGGAAUGAUUCCCAAGGUUCCCAUUCCUCUGGAAAUGGUUCUUGGAAGAAUAUCCUAAGGAACUCCUGGAGGAACCUUUGAAGGAACUCCUAGAGGAAUCUCUCAAAGAACUCCUGAAGGAAUCUCAGUAGGGAUUCCUGUGGGAAUCACCGCAUGAAUUCCUGGGAGCAUCUCCGAAAUAAUUCUUGGAGGAAUCUCCGAAGGAACUCCUGAAGAGUUUUCUUCCUCAGAAGGAUUUCCUGGAGAAAUCUCAGAAGGGUUUCCUGAAGGUAUCUCAGACGGAUUUCCUGGAAAAUCUACGUAUUCCUGGAGGAAUCUACGUAGGAACUCAUGGAGGAAUCUCCGGAAGAAAUCCUGAACAAAUCUCCGAAGGAACUGCUGCAGGAAUCUUCGAAGGAGCUCCUGAAUGAAUCUCCGAAGAAACACCUGAGAGGAUCUCCGAUGGAAGUUCUGCAGGAAUCUCCGAAUAAACUCAUGGAGGAAUCUCCGAAGGAACUCCUAAGGGAAUCUCCGAUGGAACUUUUGGAGGAAUCUGCGAAGGAACUCCUGAAGAGUUUUCUUCCUCAGAGGCAUUUCGUGGAGGAAUCUUAGAAGGGUUUCCUGAAGGUAUCUCAGACGGAUUUCCUGGAAAAAUCUUCCAGGAGUUCUUGCAAGAAUCUCCGAAGAAACUCCUCCAGGAAUCUCUGAAGGAACUGCUUCAGGAAUCUCCGAGUGAACUUCUGCAAGAAUCUUCAAAAUAACUCUUGGAUGAAUCUCCGAAGGAUUCCAUGUAGGAAUCUCCGAAGGAACUUGUUGACGGGUCUCCGAUGAAACUUCAUGAGGUAUCUUCAUAAGAAUCCCUAGAGGAAUCGCCGAAAGUGCUCCUGGAGGAAUCUCCGAAGAAACUGCUGCAGGAAUCUCCGAUGGAACUCCUGCAGGAAUCUCCGAAUGAUCUUCUGCAAGAAUCUUCGAAGGAACUGUUGGAUGAAUCUCCGAAGGAUUCCAUGUAGAAAUCUCCGAAAGAACUCAUGUAGGAAUCUCCGAAGGAACUUCUUGACGGGUCUCCGAUGAAACUUCUGGAGGAAUCUUCAUAAGAAUCCCUGGAGGAAUCGCCGAAAGUGCUCCUGGAGAAAUCUCCGAACAAACUGCUGCAGGAAUCUCCGAUGGAACUCCUGCAGGAAUCUCCGAAUGAUCUUCUGCAAGAAUCUUCGAAGGAACUCUUGGAUGAAACUUCGAAGGAAUCCAUGUAGAAAUUUCCGAAAGAGCCCAUGUAGGAAUCUCCGAAGGAGCUACUGGAGGGGUCUCCGAUGAAACUUCUGGAGGAAUCUUCAUAAGAAUCCCUGGAGUAAUCGCUGACGGAGCUCCUGAAGGAAUCUCCGAAGGAACACCUGAGGGGAUCUCCGAUGGAAGUUCUGGAGGAAUCUACGAAGGAACUCAUGGAGGAAUCUGGAAAUCCUGGACAAAUCUCCGAGGGAACUGCUGCAGAAAUAUUUGAAGGAAUCUCCGAAGAAACACCUGAGGGAAUCUCCGAUGGAAAUUCUGGAGGUAUCUCCGACGGCUUUCUUCCUCAGAAGGAUUUCCUGGAGGAAUCUUAGAAGGGUUUCCUGAAGGUAUCUCAGACGAAUUUCCUGGAAAAAUCUUCCAAGAAUUCUUUCAAGAAGCUCCGAAGAAACUCCUGCGGGAAUCUCCGAAUGAUCUUCUGCAAGAAUCUUCGAAGGAACUGUCGGAUGAAUCUCCGAAGGAAUCCAUGUAGGAAUCUCCGAAAAAAAAUCAUGUAGGAAUCUCUGAAGGAACUUCUGGAGGGGUCUCUGAUGAAACUUCUGGAGGAAUAUCUAUAGGAAUCCCUGGAGCCGAAGGAGCUCCUGGAGGAAUCUCUGAAGGAACUGCUGCAGGAAUCUUCGAAGGAGCUCCUGAAGGAAUCGACCCGGGUCCCGUAUGGGUCUCCGGAGCCGUAUCGCUGACCGUCUGCAGGACGAAAACGACGGAAACCUUUCAGCUCCCAAGUACUCACUGCCCAUCUGAAGGGAGCCUCGAGAUCUUCGCCAGCGUUUGACCGCCAGUCCAUCGGUCUUAAGAUUCCGAAAACAUCUUCAGCAGCCGGUGGUACCUUCAUAUAUUCAUUGCCGGUACGGUCUAUGUUCUCGCAACAUAUUGGGCCGUCGUCAAUUCGUUCGCCAAGUGUCCGGCGUAUGCGACAGCUGCUGAAAAUGACUCAAGCUGGUCCGGGUGGCGCACCAGGAUCGGCAUUGGCAGCCCUCACCGUCCAUCAGAGCCCGGCACCUACACCGAGCACAAAACUGCCCCGCACCCACAACCCGAUCGACAUCAACCCGGCCGAGUAUUCUAAGCUCAAGCUAGAUAAGACAGUGAUUGACGCAAUCGGAAUAUCCGGAAUGCUGUGGAUCCAUCUGCUUACGGUCAUGGACUACGGGCCAUGUGUGAAACGUAUGAAGCGCAGCAACCGAUGAACCGACCGGCGUUGGAUUACUCGAGCGAUACGGAAGCCAUCAUCGGAUCGUGGCCCACCCGGCCAUGGCAUACACGAAAGCUCGAGACAGCACUCAAACCCUUGGAGGUGGUCCAGAAUUUGCCAACUUUAACUCAAUCCCGCGCGUUCGACCCGGGGCAUGUAUGGGUCUCCAGAGCCGUGUAGCUGACCGUCUGCAGGACGAAAGCGAUGAAAUCCUUUCAGCUCCCAAGUACGCACUGCCCAUCUGAAGGGAGCCUAGAGAUCUUCGCCAGCGUUUGGCCGCCAGUCCAUGGACCUUAAGAACACCGAAAACAUCUUCAGCAGCCGGUGGUACCUUCAUAUAUUCACCGCCGGUACGGUCUAUGUCCUCGCAACAUAUUGGGCCGUCGUCAAUUCGUUCGCCAAGUGUACGGCGUAUGCGACAGCUGCUGAAAAUGACUCAAGCUGGUCCGGGUGGCGCACCAGCAUCGGCAAUAGCAGCCCUCACCGGCCAUCAGAGCCCGGCACCUACAUCGAGCACAACACUGCCACGCACCCACUAUCCGAUCGACAUCAACCCGGCCGAGUAUUCCAAGCUCAAACUGGAUAAGACAGUGGUUGGCGCAAUCGAAUAUCUGGAAUGCUGUGGAUCUAUCUGCUUGCCGGUCGUGGACUACGGGUUACGCCUGAACCACCUCAAGUGCAGCAUCCGAUGAUCCGAGAUUUGUAUUGCGUACUGGAAUGCGAUCGUAUCCGGGUUGCUGGAUGGAUCGUGGGAUCCUCAACAUCGACACAAGCUGUGUCAUAGAUGUGCACUUUCACUAACUAUUCUCCUGCGGCAACGGCCCGCAAGCUGCACCGGAACGGAACUUGGCCUCGGGACAGCACGGAUGUUCUGUCGAAAAUUCAAAACGCUGUAAUGUAGGGGUUCCGUACUAUU